GCCGCCGCCAGGGCCGUGGCCAGCGCGGCCAUGUUGCCGCCGGCUGCGCUGAGGGGAGGGGCGGCCGCGCCUUUUCCUCACACGAUUUAACUCUUUUUUUUCCCUUUCUCAGCUGCCGUAGGGCUGGUGUUACUGGCCCUGGUUUCGUCUGUGUCGAGAUGUUUGUGCAAAUGGAAACUGAUGACUCAGAAGGAUUGUUCUGGGACUGGUUCAUUAGACUCUGCAGAAAAUACCACAAUGGCUUUUCCAGAGAGGGCAAAUGUGAUUCCAUGAAUAAACACGCUGUACUAACUGGGUGUUUCCAACUAUUUCAGCUGUCUCUCCAAUUUCUGCAGAACACAUGAAUUAAAGGUGGUCUCAACUCUGUUAUCAUUUAUUCAUCCCUACAGUUUACCACAUCUGAUGGUAUAGUCCAAGCUGUGUUGUGAGACCCUGGUGUGAAGUGCAUUAACUAUCAGCACUUAAAGUACUAGUCUGUCAGCUGUUGACCAUAGGAACCCAGAAGAAAACCAGGCAGAUAUGUCUCUGAGAGUGCUGGCAGGAACCUUUGUACCAUGCAAAGACACAGCAUCAGUACUGCUUCAAGGCUCUCCCUGUGGCAGCAGGAGAGAAGAAGACAGAGAGUCAAGAUUCCUCCUGCGUCACGCUUCUUGUCACAUCUCUCCUCACCUGGUGCCCCAAGAGGUGUGAGCAGAGGCAGACUGCAUGUGAAUUGGGUUGCCUCACUUUCUGCUCUGAUGUGAGCAUCUUUGCAGGAGCUGAUCCCUGAACAAAGCUCAUUGGAGGGGGGUGAACAGUAUCAUAGCACUGUGGCCGGUGCAAAAAGGCACUGCUGAUCCCAGAUGUUUAAAAAUUGCAGAAGCUAGAAGAAUAAUAAAAUUAGCUAGAAAAAAUACUGGAAGAUUAUAAUAAAGCUUUGGCUCUUUUUA